rnacentral:rRNA from 1 species
UGGGGAAUAUUGCACAAUGGGCGAAAGCCUGAUGCAGCGGCGCCGCGUGAGGGAUGACGGCCUUCGGGUUGUAAACCUCUUUCAGCAGGGACGAAGCGCAAGUGACGGUACCUGCAGAAGAAGCACCGGCUAACUACGUGCCAGCAGCCGCGGUAAUACGUAGGGUGCAAGCGUUGUCCGGAAUUACUGGGCGUAAAGAGUUCGUAGGCGGUUUGUCGCGUCGUUUGUGAAAACCAGCAGCUCAACUGCUGGCUUGCAGGCGAUACGGGCAGACUUGAGUACUGCAGGGGAGACUGGAAUUCCUGGUGUAGCGGUGAAAUGCGCAGAUAUCAGGAGGAACACCGGUGGCGAAGGCGGGUCUCUGGGCAGUAACUGACGCUGAGGAACGAAAGCGUGGGUAGCGAACAGG